UCCUUGAUAGUCCAGUGGUGAAGACUCUGCACUCCCAAGGCAGGGGGCAUAGGUUUGAUCCCUGACUGGGGAA
rfam:TPA: Bos taurus chromosome 8, whole genome shotgun sequence.